UUACAUAUGCUUGUCUUAAAUAUUACCCCAUGCAUGUGCCAUUUCAGUAUUGAACAGCAAAACUGCAAAGGGCUCAUUAAAACAGUUAUAGUUUAUUUGAUAAUUAAAAAUUAUAUGGAUAACCAAGCUAAUUGUUGGGCUAAUACAUGCUAUAAAAUUCCGGGUCCGGCGACCGGAACGUAUUUAUUAAAUAUUAAACCUUUCGCACCAUUGUGAAAAAAAUGAUUCAAAGUAACUGAUCAAAUCGAACCUGGCUACAAUAAAUCAUCUAAUUUUCUGCCCUAUCACCUCUCGAUGGUAGUGUAUUGAACUACCAUGGCAGUCACGGGUAACGAAAAAUUAGGGUUCAAUUCCGGAAAAGGAGCCUGAAAAACGGCUACUACAACUACGGUUUGGCAGCAGGAAAAAAAAUUGGCCAAUCCUAAUUCAGGGAGCCAGUGACAAGGAAUACCAAACCGGGAAACUACUUUUCUACGGUAUUGAAAUGAAAACAGUGUUAAUCUCUUACCGAGAAACAAUUGA
rnacentral:rRNA from 1 species